rnacentral:lncRNA from 1 species
GAGUACAUAGAGUACAUAGAAGAGUGAGCUCUGAAAGAACUCUCACAUGGACCCCAGAAAGAGGAGUACUCAACGCCUGCUGCACAGAAGGCAUCAGCAGUAAGUACUGGCUAGAAAAGCAGAGUCCAUCAAAGGAGAGGACCACAGUGGUAGCUGGCUGUUACAAGCUAUUGAGGCACUCCAGAGUGACAGCAUGUGAUCCCCCUGACACAAGAAACAGGCCCAGAUAACACACCGUUCAGACCGACAGCAGUUCUGGUUAUGCUACAGUACAUCAGAAGUGUGCUCUUAUCCAUCCACAGUUCUUAUCACAGUUACUUAUGCAUACAUUUAUUUUUUAUACAAAAGAAUCUUGAAUCGGUCACUUAAGAAAUAUUGAACCUCAAUAACAAAAAAUACUGAAAGUAUA